AAGAGUUUAGCUUAAUUAAAGCGUCUGUUUUGCGUACAGAAGAUGUAGGUUUAUGUCCUAUAGGUCUUA
rnacentral:tRNA from 1 species